GGCCAUCCAACACACAGGCACACCUUUAUAGCAGUGUAUACCGCAAACAAUGUCGGUCUUCUUGGCUUGUCCACAGCUCUCCUGGACCAGAUAACGAUUAAGACACAGCUCAUGGAGCAGUGCCUUCCGCAACAAAAGGGCUGACAAGAGGACUGUAGCCUUGUUACAACUGCUGACCCCACUCUUCCAGGUAAAGAAAGUAAGAUGUAACACAGAAGGCUGGUAGAUGGAUG